AACAGAGGUCAUAGCUGUGCCAGGAGAGCAGCAGUAGUGCCUUAUGAUAAAUUACAGGACCAGGAAUUUCCAGCCAUCAGGGCUAAUAAGGCAAUUACUGACUUGGAUGCUAUGCUUACCUUAUUCCCUGGAUGGCUGAGAAGAGAUGAUUGGAUGCCUCAGUGCUCAAAAGUCAGACGUGGUUGCCCUCAGGUGAGGUGGAAGAUUUCUGCCAGAAACCGGAGACCACUCUAGUUGGUUUCUGUAUAUGGAAAAUAUACAAAAAAGACACCACUUGGCAUUCUGCCUCAAUCAUCAAAAUAUCACAAGAUGCCUUUGGACGAAAGAAAUGGAAAGCUUCAGAAAACAACACAUGCUUUUCAAAAUUAAUUUUAGAAAUGUUUAUGCUUAAAUGCAGCAAAAAUGUAUCUGAGGAAAAGCCCAGUUGGGGUUCUUAAGGGAUGCAGUCUGGUGUUGACAGCUCUAUAAUGUGUCUUGUUCUUGUCAGCUCCAGAGAUUGGAAGUCUCAAUCCUCUUAAUGGUAUUUCUGUUCCUGGCGCUAAGAGAAGAUUAAAAUUUUCUUAUA